CGGACGGGUGAGUAAUGUCUGGGAAACUGCCUGAUGGAGGGGGAUAACUACUGGAAACGGUAGCUAAUACCGCAUAACGUCGCAAGACCAAAGAGGGGGACCUUCGGGCCUCUUGCCAUCAGAUGCGCCCAGAUGGGAUUAGCUUGUUGGUGGGGUAACGGCUCACCAAGGCGACGAUCCCUAGCUGGUCUGAGAGGAUGACCAGCCACACUGGAACUGAGACACGGUCCAG
rnacentral:rRNA from 1 species